CAAGAUGUAGCUUAACUAAAGCAUCUAGUUUACACCUAGAAGAUUUCACACACUAUGAAUAUCUUGA
rnacentral:tRNA from 1 species